UAUUUUUAUUAACUGUUGAAAAUUAGUAGCUCCAGUCAGAGUCAUCACAGCACACAGAAGUAAAGGGAGAGUCUGGAUCUUCAUGAUGGACCGAAUGCAGGUUAAAGAUGACGAUUACCUUCAGAUA